AACAGGAUUAGAUACCCUGGUAGUCCACGCCGUAAACGAUGUCGACUUGGAGGUUGUGCCCUUGAGGCGUGGCUUCCGGAGCUAACGCGUUAAGUCGACCGCCUGGGGAGUACGGCCGCAAGGUUAAAACUCAAAUGAAUUGACGGGGGCCCGCACAAGCGGUGGAGCAUGUGGUUUAAUUCGAUGCAACGCGAAGAACCUUACCUACUCUUGACAUCCAGAGAACUUAGCAGAGAUGCUUUGGUGCCUUCGGGAACUCUGAGACAGGUGCUGCAUGGCUGUCGUCAGCUCGUGUUGUGAAAUGUUGGGUUAAGUCCCGCAACGAGCGCAACCCUUAUCCUUUGUUGCCAGCGGUUAGGCCGGGAACUCAAAGGAGACUGCCAGUGAUAAACUGGAGGAAGGUGGGGAUGACGUCAAGUCAUCAUGGCCCUUACGAGUAGGGCUACACACGUGCUACAAUGGCGCAUACAAAGAGAAGCGACCUCGCGAGAGCAAGCGGACCUCAUAAAGUGCGUCGUAGUCCGGAUUGGAGUCUGCAACUCGACCCCAUGAAGUCGGAAUCGCUAGUAAUCGUGGAUCAGAAUGCCACGGUGAAUACGUUCCCGGGCCUUGUACACACCGCCCGUCACACCAUGGGAGUGGGUUGCAAAAGAAGUAGGUAGCUUAACCUUCGGGAGGGCGCUUACCACUUUGUGAUUCAUGACUGGGGUGAAGUCGUAACAAGGUAACC
rnacentral:rRNA from 1 species